AUUGAACGCUGGCGGCAGGCCUAACACAUGCAAGUCGAGCGGAUGAAGGGAGCUUGCUCCUGGAUUCAGCGGCGGACGGGUGAGUAAUGCCUAGGAAUCUGCCUGGUAGUGGGUGAUAACGUCCGGAAACGGGCGCUAAUACCGCAUACGUCCUGAGGGAGAAAGUGGGGGAUCUUCGGACCUCACGCUAUCAGAUGAGCCUAGGUCGGAUUAGCUAGUUGGUGGGGUAAAGGCCUACCAAGGCGACGAUCCGUAACUGGUCUGAUAGGAUGAUCAGUCACACUGGAACUGAGACACGGUCCAGACUCCUACGGGAGGCAGCAGUGGGGAAUAUUGGACAAUGGGCGAAAGCCUGAUCCAGCCAUGCCGCGUGUGUGAAGAAGGUCUUCGGAUUGUAAAGCACUUUAAGUUGGGAGGAAGGGCAGUAAGUUAAUACCUUGCUGUUUUGACGUUACCAACAGAAUAAGCACCGGCUAACUUCGUG
rnacentral:rRNA from 1 species